AAGCACAAGCACAAGCACAAGCUACCAUCUCUAUUUGAAACAAUAUAUUUGAAAAUUGAAACUGAUCCAUAUGUUUGUGUUGUCAAUUUGGCCUAUCAUGGCAUACAUAUCAACCUGGAUAAGAUAGAAUAUCAUCUACUGCUAACUAAGAAAAUAAUAUAUAAAAUGUGGAGUAAAUUUCACACGUGGUCAAUUCACUUUACAAGUAUUUCAUAAAAGUCACUGAAUAAAACUGAUUGAACUUCAAUUUGAUUUCAUA
rnacentral:misc_RNA from 1 species